rnacentral:tRNA from 1 species
GCUCAGUGGGUAAAGUACAAAGCUCUUAACCUUGUGGACGUGGGUUCAAGCCCCAU